rnacentral:misc_RNA from 1 species
UGAACGCAACUUGCACCUCAUUCGAGGUAUGUCUGUUUGAGUAUCAUAUUGACCCUCUAAUUCAAGUCAAUUGAAUUGGGAUUUGAGUGUUUCGAUUUUGUAUCGAUCACUUUAAAUGUAUUACCAGGCGUUGUUAACACAUAGUACAAGUGCCUUUUGUCAAAAGAGGAUUUAUUCUCUUUCAAAGGACACAGCGUACUGCAUUGCAACGUAACUUGUGCAAACAAGUUAAAUCUCUUUACAUUGAUCUCAAAUCAGGCAAGACUACCCGCUGAACUUAA